rnacentral:rRNA from 1 species
UAUUCGCCUGUUUUCAAAAACAUCGCUAAAAGUAGUUGAUUUUUAGUAGUACCUGCCCAGUGCGUAUUAUCUUGUUAACGGCCGCCUUAGCGUGAGGGUGCUAAGGUAGCGAAAUUCCUUGCCUUUUAAUUGUAGGCCAGCAUGAAUGGUUUGACGAGGGCCUCACUGUCUCUUAGUUCUAUGUUGAAAUUGUAGUGUAGGUGAAGAUACCUUCAUAAAAAAGUAAGACAAAAAGACCCCGUGCAACUUUGAAAAUUAAGCUAGAUUAAAUGGCAAAAGAUUUUUAGGUGGGGCGCCAAAAGAGGAAACUAUAACCUCUGCUGUUUAAGCUAAUUCUUACUGGAGUUGACCUGACUUAAGUCGAUCAAAGGAGAAGUUACGCCGGGGAUAACAGGCCAAUUCUUUAGUAAAGCUCGUAUUAACUAAAGGGCUUGGCACCUCGAUGUUGAAUCAGGGAUUAUAGCUUCAAGGCGUAGAUGCUUUGAUUAGUAGGUCUGUUCGACCUUUGAAACCCUACGUGAUCUGAUUCAGACCGGA